GACGAACCGUGCAAACGUUGUUCGGAAUCACUGGGCUUAAAGGGCGCGUAGGCGGCUCAUCAAGUCGGGGGUGAAAUACUUCAGCUUAACUGGAGAAGUGCCUUCGAUACUGGUGGGCUUGAGGGAGGUAGGGGUCUUUGGAACUUCUGGUGGAGCGGUGAAAUGCGCAGAUAUCAGGAGGAACACCGGUGGCGAAGGUGGGUCUCUGGGCCGAUACUGACGCUGAGGAGCGAAAGCGUGGGGAGCGAACAGG
rnacentral:rRNA from 1 species